GCAUAUCAAUAAGCGGAGGAAAAGAAACCAACAGGGAUUGCCCUAGUAACGGCGAGUGAAGCGGCAACAGCUCAAAUUUGAAAUCUGGCGCAAGCCCGAGUUGUAAUUUGUAGAGGAUGCUUCUGGCCAGCGGCCGUUCUAAGUUCCUUGGAACAGGACGUCAUAGAGGGUGAGAAUCCCGUAUGUGACCGGCGCGCAGCCUUUACGUAGCUCCUUCGACGAGUCGAGUUGUUUGGGAAUGCAGCUCUAAAUGGGAGGUAAAUUUCUUCUAAAGCUAAAUACCGGCCAGAGACCGAUAGCGCACAAGUAGAGUGAUCGAAAGAUGAAAAGCACUUUGGAAAGAGAGUUAAAAAGCACGUGAAAUUGUUGAAAGGGAAGCGCUUGCAACCAGACUUCGUAGCGAUGUUCCGCCGGUCUUCUGACCGGUCUACUCAUCGUCGCGAGGCCAACAUCGUCUGGGGCCGCCGGAUAAGACCUAAGGAAUGUAGCUUCCCUCGGGAAGUGUUAUAGCCUUUGGUGAUGCGGCGCGUCUCGGGCGAGGUCCGCGYUUCGGCCAAAKGGA
rnacentral:rRNA from 1 species